UGAAAACAACUGACGCAAAAAAUAUAUAUUUCCUUUUUUAAUAUAAUAACAUUAUAAACAUCAUUUCAACAACAGGAAAAGUUUCUUCUUAAUAUAAAUCCCAUCAGAACAGUAUAUUGCACGUGUCAUUUUGUUGCCCUAAUAUUCUGCAUAGAUCAAUUUAAUUCAGAAUUGAAAGUGUGUUCUGAAAAAAUAAACAAUUUGAAAAGAGUUAAUGGUUCUCUGUACAAAAAAAAAUAUUUUCUUAUAUAAUGUCACAAAAAUUAUAAAAGAAAAACAGUCAAUAAACAGGUCACUAAAGGUCAAGGCUGGGAAUAUUCCAAAUCCAACAUUUUUUUCCCCCCUCUCCCUCAUGAAGACCCAGCCAGGCCCUUUUAGAAGAGGUAGAGAACACAAACACACUAGAAACAAGAACUGCAUCCAAAGAUAAAACACCUACUUUUAUAGUUGGAUUUAAUGUUCAAAUAAUGGUAUUCAGCAUAAGAAAGUCCCACAUAGGUAAACAUAGACUGCUUCAAAAAAAGAUGCUUUUCAAGUCAGUCAGAACGCACCAAAUGUUUAGUCAUUUUAAAACUGUGUUAAUAAAACUUGAUCAAUGGGUCAGCAAUCAAGAAUGCAUAAACAUGGCUCCAAAGAUGGCAUCACCACCCUGAGGGCAUUUUAGAUGAAACUUUACAUGAGGGGUCUGUUCAUCGACUCAAAUGUUCGUCCAUCGUCUUCCACUUCUUUAAGAAUAAGGGUCACAAGGGAAUCAGGUCCAGCAGUAAAAACCUGAUAUUACUCUCAUCAGAAACAUUCUCCAGUUUGUUCUGGCAACCUGGGGGCAUUCCCAGUCCAGAAAUGACAAACAGUCCCCUUAUGGAUUCAGAGUGUGCCUUGAAGUCUCCUACCAGUGGGACAUGACCAUUUAUUCUCCAAAUGAAGGUCCCUUGAUCAGAUCAUCGAAGUUCAGGGUCAGAAUGUUGAUGGACU